UUCCCCCAUGGCAAUGGGCAAAGAGACACUUGUUGGUGGUGGUGUUCUUAUAUCAGUCAGGGGAAGAGCAGAUAGCAGUCCUUGGUUCAUCCUAGCUGAUGCCUGGCUUGGUGGCCAAAGCUGUUUCAUGCUUAGGUCACACAA
rnacentral:snoRNA from 1 species